UGGGGAAUAUUGCGCAAUGGGCGAAAGCCUGACGCAGCCACGCCGCGUGAGUGAUGAAGGCCUUCGGGUCGUAAAACUCUGUCGGGAGGGACGAAGGGGCAACCCUGACGGUACCUCGCAAGAAAGCACCGGCUAACUCUGUGCCAGCAGCCGCGGUAAUACAGAGGGUGCAAGCGUUGCUCGGAUUUAUUGGGCGUAAAGCGCACGCAGACGGUAUGGAAGGUCGGACGUGAAAUCCCUGGGCUCAACC
rnacentral:rRNA from 1 species